CAUUUUUUCAGCAGCCAAGCAGUGUGAUAUUUGGAUAUUUUUAUCGCAGCCAAGCAGUGUGAUAUUUGGAUAUUUUUAUCGCAGCCAAGCAGUGUGAUAUUUGGAUAUUUUUAUCG